AACGCACCUUGCGCUCCUUGGUAUUCCGAGGAGCAUGCCUGUUUGAGUGUCUUGAAAUCAUCAAGCCUUUGGUUUUCGUGACCACGGGCUUGGACUUGGGGGCUUGCUGCGGCGACGCGGCUCCCCUUAAAUGCAUCGGUCGGACCCCUCGGGAUCCCUUCCUGGACGUUGUAGCAUCCUCGUCCUAUGGAGCGUCCCUUGCCGACCUCGACCUGCCUCUGGAGUGGCGGUCAAUCCAAUUGAAAUCUGACCUCAAAUCAGGUAGGACUACCCGCUGAACUUAA
rnacentral:misc_RNA from 1 species